CCGCAUGAAAACCUGCAAUCAUGCCUCAAUAUUUUGAGACUUGCAAAAUGUAAUUUAGGACCAGUGUCCCAGGAAACGCACCAAAAUGUUGUUAGUGUUGCUGAACGGACAGGGGGGGAAUAUCUACACCAGCUCAUCACGUCCCCCUGCCUUCUUUUCACUUUGCUGAUCCUCGUGUCGUUUAGGCCCAUUCAACUCGGAUGACAUCAUCGAAUGCCGGAGUGCCAAGUGUGCUCCAUAAAGGCCAGACAUGUUUCAGGAGUGAGGGAGUACCGCUGGUGCGCUGAGACGAGAGGAUUGUUCCAGUCUUUUGGCGCAAAUUAUUGAAACGAUAAACCAAAAACAGGAUUGACCUUGGGACCGAAGAGGGUCAUGAAACUGCUGGAAUGGAGAGUGUGGGUGGUGGUAUGCAUGAUGUGAGGGGCAGCGAUGUUCCGUAUCACCGAGCAGGGGUAUCCGUUGACCCACUUCAGGACACGGGCAAGUCCUCUCUUUGUCGCCCCGUUUACCCUAAUGUAAAGGUAUCACACAAGACAUUUGACAUUUUAUCCAUCAUGUGAAAAAUGAGUGGACGACGUUGAUCUUG